ensembl:lncRNA
AGUGUUAAUAAGCCUCCAAUGAAUUGCUUCCUAGUGGCCCUUCACAAGAAUAGGAGAAUAAUAAGACACUGUCACUUAUCUCAUUGGAAUUUAUAGGCAGUGCAAUGUUUAUUUCUCCCCCUUCGAUUAUGAGCAUUCAAAAUUACUACUUAGAUUCUCCUUAUAUGAUGCUAGUCAACCACCCACUGCCCACACGAGGCCUGUUAUGUCCUUCGGGAUAUGGUGCCCAAGGAAUAAGUGAAUUUGUCUGAGAGUAGGGUUUCUGGUACCUGGAUUUGCUCUAAUGCAGACACGGAGGUUCCAUACAGCAUUUUCUUUCUUCUUUCUAGAAAUGGAUCCUAAGAGCACAAGAUAAUCAUAAAUAUCACAAGAACCCUUUGGAGGUUGAAUGCUGACUUUAUCCAAAGAGAAGAUGCAUGAGGUGCCUCAGGUCUUUAAAGCACAGAACUGCCAACAAUUCAACACAGAGUAUGAAAAAUGGCGGCGAAGUACAGUGUCGAAUUGAUCCCUGAGAUCGCUCUCAAGACCAGGAAUCCAUCAGACUUCAGGGCCAAGCAGGGAGGCAGAAUGCUGCUGGGGGCAGAUGGGGAGCAAUGCAGGAUUUGAGCGUGGACUGCACAGAGUUCCUCCCAAGAGAAGAGGAAUGAGGCAGGCAGGACCUCUCAGAAUACGCAGACUGUUUUCACUGAGGGACUUGGACCAGUGAUCCCUGAGAUCGCUCUCAAGACCAGGAAUCCAUCAGACUUCAGGGGCAAGCAUGGAGGCAGAAUGCUGCUGGGUGCAGAUGGGGAGCAAUGCAGGAUUUGAGCGUGGACUGCACAGACUUCCUCCCAAGAGAAGAGGAAUGAGGCAGAUAAGAUGGGUGGAAGAGGAGGGCACCACAAUGGCUCCUCGUAGAGCUCUACUGCCCCCAUGAGGACACAGUUUCAUCAGACAUGUUACCUCCAGUUUCCUUCCCAUGACAGCCCUGGCCUUUAGUGUUCUAGAAGAGAUUGGGCAUUAUUUUCUUUCUACAACCUGGAGAACUGAACCCUAACUGUACAUUAGUGUAGAACCUAGGGGGUGACACGAACUAUCAGCAGUGAAGCAAUUUAAUAGCAUACAUGUUUACUGUAGGUGCGAGUGUACCCCUGUAGUAUGCUUGCCAAGGUCUGAGAACAAUUUGUAAGUGUUAGUUAUCUCCUUUAAAGAGGGUGCUGGAGAUGGAACAGAGGUCCUCAGGCAUACAUGCAACCCCAGUAUCACAAACGGUUAUCCUCCCACAACCUGAGGACACUGCAGAAAUUCAUAAGUACAGAAAUGAGUAAAAAAGCACUUGGAUUCAGGAUUUACUAGACAUGCCCUCAGAAUUCACAUGCUUUCUUUCUACUUUUUAUUCACCUACUGGACAAGUAUCACCAAGUAAAUCAAGCCUGAAUGCACAGGGCUCUGAGGGAAUUUAUCUAGACAAAGGAGAGGUGUUUUCAUGAAGAAGGGUGGUGGUUUGCAAUCUUUGGUUUGAAUUGCAAAUGCAAAAGUAAAAUGGCUGCCUUGUACAACUAGAAUCUGCACAGAAGAGGAAGCAGGCAUUUUUCUUGUCCUUUUUUUCAGACUAAACUGGGGGGAGAAUAGUAUGUAAGGUGGCAUUGCUGAACUUAUCUAGAGCUCUGCUGCCCCCAAGAGGAAUUAGUUUCAACAGGACACCAGCAGUUACUUUCCUAUAAGCCCCUGCUAGAAGGAAGGCUAGCCUUCAAACUGAAGCUCAUUGUCUUCCAAUGCCCCAAGAAAUGCCAGGAAGCUGGUGUAAUUCCUCAUAGAACCUGAAGGUUGUGGGACCUGAAGUGGACCACAAGUAGUCUGGGAUACUGAAACUGUGCUAUUCCCAGCUUUGAUUUGAAAAUGUAGAAAUAACUCAAAAACAAAUGCAAACUCUCCGUCAUCAAGAUGGCUCCUGCUUGUAAUCCCAGUGUUCUGAAGGUAGGAAAGGACUACAGUGAGCACUAGGUAAACAUGGGCUAGAGAGAAGAUUUUGUGUCAAGGAACUCAAGAAUGAACUUUUAAAAUGGGUUAGAGGCACUGCACUAUGAGAAGGGGUGUGUGUUCCUAUUGCUCUUGCCCAUGCUGGAAGCAGAACUUCACGCACCAUCACUGUUCUACAGCCCUACUUACUAUACCCGCUGGAUCCAGGAACUGCAGCAGUGGAAGACCGGCAAGAAAAGCCAAUUCCACAUGCCAAGGGAGUUUAGAAAAGGCCUGAUGUGUACCCAACUAUCAAAACACAGGGCAAAGAAUUAGGCUUCCAUCUAGAAGAGUAAAUGUAUGUGUGGGGAUGGGUGGGUGGGAUAGAUUCAAUGUAAAUGCUUUUUUUUUUUUUU